GUUGUGGCUCAGUGGUAGAGCACUUGCCUAGAACAUGUGAGGCACUGGGUUCAAUCCUUAGCACAACA
rnacentral:tRNA from 1 species